GUGCCAGCCGCCGCGGUAAUACGUAGGGUGCAAGCGUUGUCCGGAAUUAUUGGGCGUAAAGAGCUCGUAGGCGGUUUGUCGCGUCUGCUGUGAAAACUGGAAGCUCAACUUCCAGCCUGCAGUGGGUACGGGCAGACUAGAGUGCGGUAGGGGAGAACGGAAUUCCUGGUGUAGCGGUGGAAUGCGCAGAUAUCAGGAGGAACACCGAUGGCGAAGGCAGUUCUCUGGGCCGUUACUGACGCUGAGGAGCGAAAGCGUGGGGAGCGAACAGGAUUAGAUACCCGGGUAGUCC
rnacentral:rRNA from 1 species